AAAACCAAAAUUUACGUAAUUCGACAAUUACCUUGUUCAUUGGGAGAGUGAAAAAGAUGUAUUCCACUAUUGAAGAAAUAAAAGUACAGACUUAUACAUUAUGUCUUCUUCAGAUAAAAAAACUAAGAGUUUUAUAGUAAAUCCCAUCUUUCUCUUAUUCCAACUAAAACUCUAAACACCCCUUAACCCCUUAACCCCCAUAUUAUUCCCAAACACUCCCAAAAAUGGGUAGGGUUAGCUAACCCCACUUCAAAUGGGCAAUUCCGGAUUAGCUAACCCCACCAAACCCCAACCAAACACUAUUUUCUAGUCAUAAUAACUCACUAUCGUUCUUAUCCCACCUACUCCAACCAAACACUAUUUUUCACUAUCCUGGACUAAUUCCAACCUCCAACCAAACAUAAAAAUACUCCAACCCUAUCUUAACCCUGAACUUAACCCUAUCCCUGGAAUAACUAAUUUUUUCUUAACCCCGAACCAAACGGUAGCUAAAAAAUAAUCAAUAAAAGCUUUUCGUAAAGUUGUAAUCGAAAUGACUAAAUUAAAGAAGUAUAAAAAUCUCUGACCAACCCCUUUAUACAGUUGUUUCGAAGAAUUCAAACCACUCAGACAGCUAGUUGAGAACUGCCGCUCUGCUGUCGACUUUGAUCUGCGGCAUGCAUGCUGCCUCUUUUAUGUCGUACGGUCACCUGUGCCUAGGGAUGGCAAUCCAGCUCGCUGUUUACGAGCCAGCUCAUGUUCGGCUCGAAAUCCGUUCGAAAUCGAGUCGCUCGUUUAGUAAACAAGCUGAACACGUUGUUUAAUAAACGAGCCGAACACGAGCUGGAUCAACUCGUUUGUAUUCGGUUCGAUAACAGUGUGAAUAUAUAUAUUUUAUAUUCAUAUAAUUUAUAUUUAUAUAAAUAAAUAAAUAAUUAUAUAUAUAAUAUAAAUUUUUAUUAUUUAUUUUUUAGUUCAGUCUAAAUAUAAAGUCCAACUCAAUUAAAAAAAACAUUCAUGUAUAUAUAAAAUUUCAAUCAUUAGAUCAAAACUUGAUAGAUACAAUCUCACAAAUUUAUUUAUUUUUUAUAUAUAUUUUUUAAUCCUUUUAAUUUCAUAUUCGGCUCGUAUUUGAUUCGUUAAUAAAUAAAUCGGAGACGAACUAAAUUUUUCGACUCAAUCCUAUAACGAGUCAGCUUGUAUUCACGAGCCGAUG
rnacentral:lncRNA from 1 species